ACGGAAGGCAGCAGUGGGGAAUAUUGCACAAUGGGGGAAACCCUGAUGCAGCGACGCCGCGUGAGUGAAGAAGUUAUUCGUAAUGUAAAGCUCUAUCAGCAGGGAAGAAAAUGACGGUACCUGACUAAGAAGCCCCGGCUAACUACGUGCCAGCAGCCGCGGUAAUACGUAGGGGGCAAGCGUUAUCCGGAUUUACUGGGUGUAAAGGGAGCGUAGACGGUCUGGCAAGUCUGAUGUGAAAGGCAGGGGCUCAACUCCGGGACUGCAUUGGAAACUGUCAGUCUUGAGUGUCGGAGAGGUAAGCGGAAUUCCUAGUGUAGCGGUGAAAUGCGUAGAUAUUAGGAGGAACACCAGUGGCGAAGGCGGCUUACUGGACGAUAACUGACGUUGAGGCUCGAAAGCGUGGGGAGCAAACAGGAUUAGAUACCCUGGUA
rnacentral:rRNA from 1 species